AUAGGAAAAUUUAUUAAAAAAAAAAUUUUAAUAAAUAUUAAAAAAAGAAAUUUGUUUUUAAGUAUAAAUUAGAAAAAAUAAUUUUUAUGAUAGAGAAUUAGUAUUGAGAAAGAAGAGAAAGAAUAUUAGUGUAAGAAAAAAAUUAUUUUGUACCUUGUGUAUCAGGGUUUAUUAAAUAAAAUAAAGAUUAUUAAUUCUCGAAUUUAAAAGAGCUAAUUAGUUAUUAUAUUAUUGUGGAAUAAAUAUAUAAAAUAAUUAAUUAGAAAUGAAAUGUUAUUCGUUUUUAAAGUUAUCUAGUUAUUUAAGAAAAAAAUUUAAUUUUAUAAUUAUAAAUAUUUAUAUAAUUAUUAUUUAAAUAUUAGUAGUUGGAAAUUUUUUUUGGGAUUAGCUAAAAAAAAGAUUUAUAUAAAUAAGUAAAAUUUUUAAAAAUUUUAGGAUUAGAAGUUUUCAUUAAUAAAAUAAUGUUAUAAUUAAUUUUAGAUUAUUUUUAAUUUUUAUUUAUUUUAUAUUUUUUAUUAAAUUAAUUUGUAAAAUUUUUGAAUAGAUGUAAUAAUGAUAAAAUUAGUAGUUAAAAUUUUUAAGUUAAAGAUUAAAGUUAGGUAAGUUUAAGGAAUUCGGCAAAUAUAUUUUUCACCUGUUUAUUAAAAACAUGGCUUUUUGAUCAUAAUUUAAAGUCUAGCCUGCCCACUGAGGAUUUAAAGGGCCGCGGUAUUUUGACCGUGCUAAGGUAGCAUAAUCAUUAGUUUCUUAAUUAGAAGCUGGAAUGAAUGGUUGGAUGAGAAAAUUACUGUCUUAAAUUUAAUUAUAAUGAAUUUUAUUUUUAAGUCAAAAAGCUUAAAUUUUAUUAAAAGACGAGAAGACCCUAUAGAGUUUAAUAUAAAUAAAAUUUAUAUUUUUAGAAUUGUAAUUGUAAAUUGGCAUUUAUAUUUAAUUGGGGUGAUUGAAAAAUUAAUAAAACUUUUUUUUAUUAAGAACAUUUAUUUAUGAUUAUUUGAUCCAUUUUUAGUGAUUAUAAGAUUAAAUUACCUUAGGGAUAACAGCGUAAUUUUUUUUGAGAGUUCUAAUCGAAAAAGAAGAUUGCGACCUCGAUGUUGGAUUAAAAUUAAUUUUUGGUGUAGAGGCUAAAAAAUUGGGUCUGUUCGACCUUUAAAAUUUUACAUGAUCUGAGUUUAAACCGGCGUGAGCCAGGUUGGUUUCUAUCUUUAAUGAGUUAAUAUAUUUUAGUACGAAAGGACCAAAUAUGUAAUAAAAAAUUUUUAAAAGAAUAAUAUU
rnacentral:rRNA from 1 species